rnacentral:rRNA from 1 species
AAAUUGAAGAGUUUGAUCAUGGCUCAGAUUGAACGCUGGCGGCAGGCCUAACACAUGCAAGUCGAACGGUAACAGGAAGAAGCUUGCUUCUUUGCUGACGAGUGGCGGACGGGUGAGUAAUGUCUGGGAAACUGCCCGAUGGAGGG